UACGGAGGGUGCAAGCAUUGAUCGGAAUUACUGGGCGUAAAGGGCGCGUAGGCGGUUCAGAAAGUCAGAUGUGAAAUUCCGGGGCUCAACCCCGGAGCUGCAUUUGAAACUUCUAAACUAGAGUACAGUUAGGGAAAACAGAAUUCCACGUGUAGCGGUGAAAUGCGUAGAUAUGUGGAAGAAUACCGGUGGUGAAGACGGUUUUCUGGGCUGAAACUGACGCUGAGGCGCGAAAGCAUGGGGAGCAAACAGG
rnacentral:rRNA from 1 species